rnacentral:rRNA from 1 species
UACGUAGGUGGCGAGCGUUGUCCGGAUUUACUGGGCGUAAAGGGCGUGCAGGCGGUUUGUUAAGUGCAGGGUGAAAGCUCCCGGCUCAACUGGGAGAGGUCCUUGCAUACUGGCGGACUUGAGGGGGGUAGAGGAAAGUGGAAUUCCCGGUGUAGUGGUGAUAUGCGUAGAUAUCGGGAGGAACACCUGUGGCGAAGGCGGCUUUCUGGGCCCUACCUGACGCUGAGACGCGAAAGCGUGGGGAGCGAACCGG